UACGUAGGGGGCAAGCGUUGUCCGGAAUCAUUGGGCGUAAAGCGCGCGUAGGCGGCCCUGUAAGUCCGUUGUGAAAGUCAAAGGCUCAACCUUUGAAAGCCGAUGGAUACUGCAGGGCUAGAGUCCGGUAGGGGACCACGGAAUUCCUGGUGUAGCGGUGAAAUGCGCAGAUAUCAGGAGGAACACCGGUGGCGAAGGCGGUGGUCUGGGCCGGAACUGACGCUGAGGAGCGAAAGCGUGGGGAGCGAACAGG
rnacentral:rRNA from 1 species